AACGAACGCUGGCGGCAUGCCUAACACAUGCAAGUCGAACGAGACCUUCGGGUCUAGUGGCGCACGGGUGCGUAACGCGUGGGAACCUGCCCUUAGGUUCGGAAUAACUCCCCGAAAGGGGUGCUAAUACCGGAUAAUGUCUUCGGACCAAAGAUUUAUCGCCUUUGGAUGGGCCCGCGUUGGAUUAGCUAGUUGGUAGGGUAAAAGCCUACCAAGGCGACGAUCCAUAGCUGGUCUGAGAGGAUGAUCAUCCACACUGGGACUGAGACACGGCCCAGACUCCUACGGGAGGCAGCAGUGGGGAAUAUUGGACAAUGGGCGAAAGCCUGAUCCAGUAAUGCCGCGUGAGUGAUGAAGGCUUUAGGGUUGUAAAGCUCUUUUACCCGGGAUGAUAAUGACAGUACCGGGAGAAUAAGCUCCGGCUAACUCCGUG
rnacentral:rRNA from 1 species